AUUGAACGCUGGCGGCAGGCCUAACACAUGCAAGUCGGACGGUAGCACAGAGGAGCUUGCUCCUCGGGUGACGAGUGGCGGACGGGUGAGUAAUGUCUGGGGAUCUGCCCGAUAGAGGGGGAUAACCACUGGAAACGGUGGCUAAUACCGCAUAACGUCGCAAGACCAAAGAGGGGGACCUUCGGGCCUCUCACUAUCGGAUGAACCCAGAUGGGAUUAGCUAGUAGGCGGGGUAACGGCCCACCUAGGCGACGAUCCCUAGCUGGUCUGAGAGGAGGACCAGCCACACUGGAACUGAUACACGGUCCAGACUCCUACGGGAGGCAGCAGUGGGGAAUAUUGCACAAUGGGCGCAAGCCUGAUGCAGCCAUGCCGCGUGUAUGAAGAAGGCCUUCGGGUUGUAAAGUACUUUCAGCGGGGAGGAAGGCGAUGUGGUUAAUAACCGCGUCGAUUGACGUUACCCGCAGAAGAAGCACCGGCUAACUCCGUGCCAGCCGCCGCGGUAA
rnacentral:rRNA from 1 species